rnacentral:rRNA from 1 species
UAGGGAAUCUUCCGCAAUGGGCGAAAGCCUGGCGGAGCAACGCCGCGUGAGUGAUGAAGGUCUUCGGAUCGUAAAACUCUGUUAUUAGGGAAGAACAAAUGUGUAAGUAACUAUGCACGUCUUGACGGUACCUAAUCAGAAAGCCACGGCUAACUACGUGCCAGCAGCCGCGGUAAUACGUAGGUGGCAAGCGUUAUCCGGAAUUAUUGGGCGUAAAGCGCGCGUAGGCGGUUUUUUAAGUCUGAUGUGAAAGCCCACGGCUCAACCGUGGAGGGUCAUUGGAAACUGGAAAACUUGAGUGCAGAAGAGGAAAGUGGAAUUCCAUGUGUAGCGGUGAAAUGCGCAGAGAUAUGGAGGAACACCAGUGGCGAAGGCGACUUUCUGGUCUGUAACUGACGCUGAUGUGCGAAAGCGUGGGGAUCAAACAGGAUUAGAUACCCUGGUAGUCCACGCCGUAAACGAUGAGUGCUAAGUGUUAGGGGGUUUCCGCCCCUUAGUGCUGCAGCUAACGCAUUAAGCACUCCGCCUGGGGAGUACGACCGCAAGGUUG